ensembl:lncRNA
AGAGUCAGAUGGGAAAGAUCCCCGAAUGAUAGAUCUAUUUCACUAAGUUGUCUUUCUGUUCAUUGGGUUUUUAUUUUUUAUUAUUUUUUAAGCCAGUCAGGUUAUUUAAUGUUGAGGUAAUAUUCAAAUUUGAGAAGUUGUGACAUGUAGCAAUCCAAGAAAACAGAAAGGUCUUUUGCUGUUACCUCAAUUCUUAUUAUAGUGGCCUAUUUGGUGCCUCUGUAGUUAAGAAUCAGGGUUUUCCCCCCUAUUUUCAGGGGUCCAUGACUUGGCUGUUAGAGGUGUCACUCCUGGCUGAUGCUUGGAGUAGUCUGUGGGUGAGUGGAUGUGUGUUGAAUUUUGGUUUUCUUUUAACAUGCGCAUUGGUGGGGGAGGGGGAAAAGAAUCUAAACUGUCUGCCACAUUGAAUACAGAAAAAUUAAUUGGAGAUUUCAGAUAAAUUUGAUUUUAAUCACUUUUUUGAACUUCCCAAAUAUAACCUUGUUUAAGAUUGUUAUUUGCAGUCUUGUUAGUUAUGAGCCAGUGUUUUUAAGUUCCCAGGAAGGGAUUGACUGGGGGAGGUACCCAAAAAGAUGAAGCAAGCCCAGAUCCUAAGAUUAUAACUUUGUGUUCUCGAAACCUGGGUUUAUUCCUCAAAUUGAAUUAUUCUCUUUUUAAUUUUGAAAAGAGUACAUUUGCGCAACUGCACCUCCCCCUCCCAGAUAAUUGUAAUCUAAUGCCAAGAGGCACCUCUUUAUUUAAUUACCAAAUAGUCUGUGUGACCAAGGACUAACAUUUUUAAGUUACUCAGCUCUAUCCUCGUGGGCCUAUAUAUUUAAUACCUCCAAAGAUAUUUUCAGGAUAGGCUUUGUAUACUUUUGUUGGUUAUUUAGAGUCCUGUGGUAUGUCUGUGGUACAGGAAUGUCAUGGUAAAUUGUUUUUCAAUAAAUAUUUUGAAACUUAUGUUUCCAUAUGAAGUUUUUUUCUUUUAAGCAAUCUGUAUUUUUUAGUUUUGUGCACAUUUAGUGUUUCCUAGGAUAAAAUCAAGCAAAUGACUCAAGGCCUCAUCCUCUCUAAUGCAGUUUGAACUCAGUUUAGCUCACAUUCAGUGAUGGAGCAACAUGAUACUGAGAAGCCUAGGAUCACAGGGUGAAACGUUAAGUGGCAGCCAGUUUUUCUAAAAAAACAUCCUUAUAGGUAGUUUUCCUCUUAUUGCCACUGCUUUAAUGUAGUUUUCUGUAAAUCCAUACACUUUGAUUUAAUGCAAACACUCUGGGUUGAGAAGAGAUUGCCAGUUUCUGUUAGUGAUGUAACUUAAUGUGCUCUUAUUUCUGAUUCUAAUGAAGACUAAGACCCUAAUAAUUUUGAGUAUGGGAUUUACCCUUUUAGUAGGGAUGUUUAGGGUAAGUUAGAGAGGUGAAUGUCACCAUGAUUUAUGGGAUUAAACAAGAACUCAAAGGAAGAAAAGAAUAAAAUUUACCUCACGAUAACCAAUAGCUUGCACAAACUUUUCAUAUAUUGUUGGGAUUGUGUUUAAGGAAGCCUAGACCAACUUAAAGAUUUUUCCGGAAGUUCAGUAAUGUUAAAUAAGGGGCCUUUGGUCUCAUCCUUCCCUGACUUUCAUUUCUUCUCUCUUACCCAGUCUUUUUCCUAAAGUUUGGUGCUACUCAAGUUGGUGCAUCAGGGAGCUCAGACACUUAACGUGCCACACGAGUGGUCAGUCCCUCCUGCAUUCAGUUUAAUAGAGCUGAUUGGGGUUUUUAGACCAUAAUUUUUAUGGGUCCCCAAAGCUGACUUUGCCCAAAGCAUUAGGACCCUUAUUACCCUCAAAGCUCUGUCUCUGCUUGAUGAGAAGUGAACUCACCUUUGCUUUGUGCUAAUGCCCGCGUGGGUACGCUUUCAUUGGUGAAAAUAAAAGAUUUGACAAAGACCUUUGUUCCUAGCCUGUUUGGGACGAGUUCAUAAUAUUGUGAAACUUAACUACAGAGGCUGGAAUCUUAGAAAUGAGGGAGUGCCGUUUGGCUGCUCGUUGUAGUGCAAACACAGUGCCGAGCAGUAAACCCACGCCUCGAACCCGGUGGAAGGUCUUGGCCGUACUCUACACAGCGAAUGUGUGGCUUGCUAAGUAGCAGGUAUUGUUAACUGCCGCUCGGUUUUUAUAUUUUCCCCUGAAUUUGUAGCCUUGCUGCUUUCAAACUCUUCUUUUUCUGAAUGGCAAAGUUACUACUGGAAAAAUACUUAUUUAUACGUACAAACUUUUUUAAGGGUUUUAUUUUUGCUUUAAAACUUAAUGUAUGUAUUUCACCUCUUGGCACUGAAGCACCUCAGUUCUUGCUAGGAAGUUCUUUUUUUAAAUCUGACAUUUGGAUUAAUCUCCAGCUUGAACCCUAGUAGUUGUAUUGUCCACAAAUCUCAGGAAUGUUUUAGGCAGAAAACUGGUUUUACCCUGUUGGUGAGCUGAAGAAGUAUCUAUAGCAUGAGUGGCCUUAGUGAGUUUGUUGAAGUGCACAUUUUUUUCAAAAGUAAAAUUUAAUAUUAAAAAUAUAUAUAUAGAUAUCUAGAAACCUUGGUUUGUGGUGCACAAGUUAAGUGUUGGAUCACUAAAUAACUGUUGCAGGUACCAUUUGUGUAACAUGACUCAUUUCUAUAUACUCCUUUUAUGGGAAGCUAUGUUGCCAUGGUAACUAAAACUUUUCAAUUUAGUUCUACUUUUAUGAUGUGAAUGAAUGCUACAUUUUAUUAAAUAUUACCAAGUCAGUACUAUUUUUGUACUUUAUUAAGCAACAGGGGAUUUUAGUUUAAUAGACUCAGAAAGCUCUUAAUGAAACAAUUAAAAGCAAAUCACUAACAAUUCUUUACAUGAAAAUCCCCACUAAUAGUGCCACAGUAAUUUCUAUAGAAAUAUCUAAGAUCAUUGAUAGAUUUUUUAAGACAAUUCUUCAUUGUGUCACAAUGACCUUUCAUAUCAUCCUUAUCACAAACUUGUAGUGCCCACCAUUGUUUGUAACCAUUAAACCAUACUAAGUAUGUUUGUAACCAGCAUUGUGAUAUAUUCUGUACUUGUAUUGCUAAAAAUGAAUUGUUGACCUAAUAAAUAUAGUGUUCCUG